CGGGUGAGUAACACGUAUCCAACCUGCCGUCUACUCUUGGACAGCCUUCUGAAAGGAAGAUUAAUACAAGAUGGCAUCAUGAGUCCACAUGUUCACAUGAUUAAAGGUAUUCCGGUAGACGAUGGGGAUGCGUUCCAUUAGAUAGUAGGCGGGGUAACGGCCCACCUAGUCUUCGAUGGAUAGGGGUUCUGAGAGGAAGGUCUCCCACAUUGGAACUGAGACACGGUCCAA
rnacentral:rRNA from 1 species